CUCCGUUGAUCCUGCCGGACCUGACUGCUAUCGGAUUGGUACUAAGCCAUGCGAGUCAUUGUAGCAAUACAAGGCGGACGGCUCAGUAACACGUAGUCAACCUAACUCGUGGACGUGGAUAACCUCGGGAAACUGAGAAUAAACCACGAUAGAUCAUAGUGCCUGGAAUGGCUUAUGGUCCAAACAGUUUACUGCCAUGGGAUGGGACUGCGGCCUAUCAGCUUGUUGGUGAGGUAAUGGCCCACCAAGGCGAUUACAGGUACGGGCUCUGAGAGGAGAAGCCCGGAGAUGGGUACUGAGACACGGACCCAGGCCCUAUGGGGCGCAGCAGGCGAGAAACCUUAGCAAUGUGCGAAAGCACGACUGGGUCAGUCCGAGUGAUUCCUGAUAAAGGAGUCUUUUGCUUGUCCUAAAAGCACAGGUGAAUAAGGGGUGGGCAAGUCUGGUGUCAGCCGCCGCGGUAAUACCAGCACCUCGAGUGGUCAGGACGUUUAUUGGGCCUAAAGCAUCCGUAGCCGGCUCUGCAAGUCUUCGGUUAAAUCCACCUGCUCAACAGAUGGGCUGCUGGAGAUACUACAGAGCUAGGGAGUGGGAGAGGCAGACGGUAUUCAGUGGGUAGGGGUAAAAUCCUCUGAUCCAUUGAGGACCACCAGUGGCGAAGGCGGUCUGCCAGAACACGUUCGACGGUGAGGGAUGAAAGCUGGGGGAGCAAACCGGAUUAGAUACCCGGGUAGUCCCAGCUGUAAACGAUGCAAACUCGGUGAUGCAUUGGCUUAUGGCCAAUGCAGUGCCGCAGGGAAGCCGUUAAGUUUGCCGCCUGGGAAGUACGGACGCAAGUCUGAAACUUAAAGGAAUGGGCGGGGGAGCC
rnacentral:rRNA from 1 species